UAAUUACACAUGAAAACAUCAUGCACAUGGUAUAAAAUCUGUUAAGCAGUUGGAUGUUACCUUUAAUCCCCACCUGGCUUUCAGGGACUGCUGGCAAGCUGAAGUAACCUACACUGGGGGUUUGAGAUGUAACCUCCACAGGAAUUUGAAGGUCCCAUCUGUAUCAAGAGAGAUCUCCACUUCAGUGGUCUGAAAUCAGCUCCUGUGACAGAGCACACUGUGACAGAAGUGCAACCAUGGGACAACAGCCAGAAGAAGGGAAGUUUCCAUGGAAUCUCAUCCCUUUCUCUUGGUCUUCACAGGCUGCAGGAUUCCAUCUUUGGAUUCCACCAGGAAAUGUAUGCACCGUUCCUGCUUAAGGCACUGUUAAACAGUGAGCUAUUUACUGCAUUGAUUUAGCCAGGGAGGAAUGGCAAAAGGAUUUAGCAGAAGCAGCUGUUAAU